GGCAGGCAUCUUAGAGACUGAUGGGGAGGUUAAGUUUAAGGUUGGUAAUGGUGGAUCAUCCCUCAUCUCCAGUGGCUGAGCAGUUGUCAGAAAACUGGGAAUUACAAAAGAUGAAUUUGAGAAUGAACGCCAAGGUGUUUUCUAAUUAUAAUUUGUGUUUCAUUACACUGUAUAAAAUGUCAAUACUAAAAUCAUUUUUAAGCUAACAAAAAUACCAAGAACUACUACAUAAUUUGUUUUCUAUGUGCAUAUGUGGUCUUUUAAAAUAACUUCUGUCUAUGCUCAGCAUAGUCAAGUAUUUCACAUAGAUCAUGAUCUCCGGGCUCCUUGUGAAUUCCAAGCUACUGGAAUGUUUUUGUAGAGGGGAAGCAUAAUUGUUCCUGUGAGUUCUGUUAUUAACAUACGUAUCAGAAGGCUGAUUUUAAAAAUUUCUGUUUGAAAUCUGUUUGGGAAUUUAUCAUUUAGCUAUUUUAAUCUUCAUGCUUACGUCAGUAUGCCAACUCUCAUCAAAGUCUUUUGGCUAUUUAAAAAAUGUAAAUGCUGUAUUUCACUUUCUAAACAUUCUUUGAAUUGAGUCAAGGAUGGAUUCUAGAGUCUGAAAAUUCAGGUUUAUUUUGGGCACCCUCAUAGGAUCUUAGGAAUAGCACUCAUUUUUCUCUUCUACACUUUUUCCUACUGGAACGUUUGCUAAAUGCCUUGAAUCAAUUGAUGUGUCCUCAGGGCAGCACAGGGCUCUGUUUCUGGAGAACUGCAAAAUAAUCGUCCCCUUUACCUUUUGGCAUUUCUGCCUUUGGUCGUUCCCUUGCCUGGAUCCUAUGAAACAUUGGCUAGUUCCAAACCCCCCACCCUCCUGUUUUGCUCACAGGCUGCCUGCUUACAACAAUUGUACAAUUAGCAGGGAAGCACAUGCAGAUAAUAAAAGAAUUAUCAUAAAAGCACUAAACAGAGCAAAUAACAUUUCAGGCUGGAUUUAAUCCCAAAUACCUGGCGCUCUGAAGCAGGGAGGUACAGAAACCAAGAAGCCAAGAAAGACAGCACCCUGGUUAACUGUGGAGGAUUGGAAUUACACACACACACACAUAUACACACAGGCAAACACAAUGCCCAAAUUUAGACAUUAGUCAGGACGGCAUGCAGUAAGUAAAUACUGUAAAUUCAGAGCUAAAAAGGGCUGGGAUAAAAAAAAGGUAAGCCUUUUAGGUUUAAUGUAGCGUUAAAAUGCUUCUGCGGCCUAAGGAUGUUGAUGGAGAGACCCGGGUUAGGAAGGAGGGAAGCCUUCAUGAGGAUGGGACCCUGCAGUCUUAGAUAGGGCUUUAGGGCAAAGAGCUGAGCUGUGAUCUUGCACUUGGCCUGGACAUCUACAUCUCUGUGCGUCUGUUUCCUUAACCAAAAACUAGGAAUAAAAAUACUUGCUCACAUUAUUAAACAACUUCUACCAAGCAUUUUGCGAUGAUUUUUCCUGAUGAAUCAGAGCCCAUCGGGGUGUGUCCUGGAGGACAGAAGCCAUUGCCUGUAUUCUAACUAAUAAAUGGAACGGCAGCCUAAGGGAUAGUUUUCUAUCAAAAAUGGACACUGAAAAUGCAGAGAUGCCCAAAAUCUAGUAACUGACCUGAAUGUUUUCAGGUUUGCAGUUAAGCUUGAAAAAGCUGCUGAGUCGGAGCCAACGGUUUCCUUUUCUCAGAAAUCAGUUUUAUGCUAUGAAUAAAAUAGCUCUUUAUCAACAAUCUUCAGCCUCAGAAAUUUAAUUUUUACAGACUUCGGUCAGGAGACUAAAUUAUAUUAUUGCAUCUGUAUCACAAGAUUCUUUCCAGCAGUUCUCACUGGGUCACUAAGACACAAGGAAGCAAGGACAAAUUGUGGAGGAAGACGUCUACGUCUGUUGGAAUGCAACCCUCAAAAAUCUCUGUGGGUGCAGAAGAAGCACCAGUGAAAUGUGCAUGGGUCCAUCUGCAAUAUCCUUUUAUUCCUGCCAGCUGCAAGGCUUCUACAUGAGGAUCUUUCUUAAAAGCCUAUAUUAGCUUCCAAGGGCUGCCGUAACAGGGUAUCCCAAACUAGGCGACUUAAAACAAUAGAUGUUUAUGGUCUCACAUUUCUCAACGCUGGAAGUCCAAAAUGAAAGUGUUGGUUAGGCUAUGCUCUCCCUGAAGAAUCUAGGGGAAGAUCUGUCAUUGCCUCUUCCUAGCUUUUGGUGGUUCCUGGAGAUCCUUGGUGUUCCCUGGCUUGUGGAUGCAUCCAUCAGUCUCUGUCUGUGUUUUCAUAUGGCUGUCUUCCCUCUAUGUGACUCUCUCUCUGUGUCUCUUCCCUUCUUUUUAUAAGGAUAUCAACCAUGUAGGAUUAGGGCCCACCUUAUUCCAGUAUGACCUCAUGUUAACUAAUAACAUUCUCAAAGACCUUGUUUCCAAACAAGGUCACUUUCACAGGUACCAGGGGUUGGGACGUCAACAUAUCUUUUUGGGAGACACAAUUCAACCCAUAACAAAGCCUAUUUUAGCUGUUUUCCUGAAAAUAACUGAGAAGAUUCUGUCUAGGAAGUGUUACCUCAUUAUGCAGUGAGUUGUGUCAGGGGAUCUUGUAAAACAUCCAGUAUUUUUAUUUAAAGAGGAAAUAACAAGAAAGAAUUCAUAUGGACUUGCCCCACUGAGAAGUUGGUCUGGGUCAGGACAGCUCAGUGAGUUCAUGCUUUGACCCUAUAUCUCUGUUCCGGACAGGUAACAAUGAGACAUAAAAUAUUAAAGUAGAAAACCGAAAAACUAUAAAAGGCAUAGCUCAGAAAUAAGAUAACUGUGCCAGAAAUGCAACAUGAACAUCAUGAGUGGGACUGGAGACAGAGAAUGGUGAUUUAGGAGGUCUGCUUCUGUGGGGUAACCCCUGGUGGCAUAGUGGUUAAGAGCUGUGGCUGCUAACCAAAAAAGGUCGGCAGUUCAAAUCUAUCAGGCGCUUCUUGGAAACUCUAUGAGGCAGUUUUACUCUGUCCUAUAGCGUUGCUAUGAGUCAGAAAUGACUCCAUGGCAACAGGUUUGGUUUUUCAUUUUUAUUACCUCUGAGGAAUAAAAAGGAUUAACAAGGCCAUAAACCAAACCCAUUGCCGUAGAUUCCAAUUCAUAGCAACCCUGUAGGACAGAGAAGAACUGCCCCGUAGGGUUUCCAAGGCUGUAAAUCUUUACAGAAGCAGACUGGCACAUCUUUUUCCCAUGGAUUGGCUGGUGGGUUCCAACUGCUGACCUUCUGGUUAGCAGCCAAGUACUUUACCCGCUGUACUACCAGGGCUCCUUCAACAAGGCCAUGCUCACUGCUGUUUAAGGCAGCGAGCAUAGAGUGUGACUCCCUUAAUUGUGAAAGGAGGCUAAAAAGUGUUGAUCUGCCUGAGGCUAUGGCAGAGUUUCUCAAUGUCAGCACUGUUGACAGUUUGAGCCAGAUAAUUCUUUCUAGUGGGGUUAUCUGAGCCUUACAGCAUGUUUAACAACAUCCUGGCACCUACCUACUAGAUGCCAGUAGCACCGCCCCCCAACUUGUGACAAUCAAAAAAUGUCUGCACCUACAGAAGUGGAAAAACAUACCUUGCUCAUGGACAGGAGGACUCAACAUUGUGAAAGUGUCUAUUCUACCGAAAGCAAUCUACCUAUAUAAUGCAAUCCCGAUCCAGAUUCCAAUGGCAUUUUUUAAUGAUAUGGAGAGGCAAAUCACCAACUUCAUCUGGAAAGGGAAGAGGCCCCGGAUAAGUAAAGCAUUACUGAAGAAGAACAGAGUGGGAAGCCUUACACUACCUGAUUUUAGAACCUAUUAUACCACCAUGGUAGUCAAAACAGCCUGGUACUGGCACAACAACAGAUACAUAGACCAAUGGAGCAGAACUGAGAAUCCAGAUGUAAAUUCAUCCACCUAUGAGCAGCUGAUAUUUGACACAGGCCCAAAGUUUGUUAAAUGGGGAAAAGACUGUCUCUUUAAGAAAUGGUGCUGGCAUAACUGGAUAUCCAUCUGCAAAAAAAUGAAUCAAGACCCAUGCCUCACAACAUGCACAAAAACUAACUCAAAAUGGAUCAAAGAUGUAAAUAUAAAAUCUAAAACAAUAAAGAUCAUGGAGGAAAAAAUAGGGACAGCGCUAGGAGCCCUAAUACGUGGCAUAAACAAUACAAAACAUUACUAACAGUGUACAAACACCAGAAGAGAAACUAGACAGCUGGGAUCUCUUAAAAAUAAAACACUUAUGCUUAUCAAAAGACUUCAUCAAAAGAGUAAAAAGACAGCCGAUAGACCGGGAAAAAAAUUUUGGCUACGACAGAUCCGUUCAGCAUCUAAUCUCUAAGAUCUACAAGAUACUGCAAAACAUCAACAACAAAAAGACAAAUAACCUGGUUAAAAAAUAGGCAAAGGAUAUGAACAGGCACUUCACCAAAGAAGACGUUCAGGCAGCUACCAGAUAUAUGAGGAAAUGCUCACGAUCAUUAGUCAUUAGAUAAAUGCAAAUCAAAACUACGAUGAGAUACCAUCUUACCCCAACAAGGCUAGCAUUAAUCCAAAAAACACAAAAUUAUAAAUGCUGGAGAGGUUGUAGAAAGACGGGAAUACUUACACACUGCUGGUGGGAAUGUAAAAUGGUACAGCCACUUUGGAAAUCGAUUUGGCACUUCCUUAAAAAACUAGAAAUAGCAGUACCAUACGAUCUGACAAUCCCACUCCUUAAAGUGUAUCCUAGAGAAAGCCGUCACGUGAAUAGAUAUAUGCACAGCCAUGUUCAUUGCAGCACUGUUCACAAUAGCAAAAAGAUGGAAACAACCUCGGUGCCCAUUAACAGUCAAAUGGAUAAACAAUGAAAUACCAUGCAAUGAUAAAGAACUACAGUGAAUCCUCAAGACAUCUCAUAACAUGGAUGAAUCUGGAAGACAUCAUGCUGAGUGAAAUUAGUCACAAAAGGACGAAUAUUGCAUGAGACCACUAUUACAAGAACUCAAGAAAAUGUUUAAACACAGAAGAAAACAUUCUUUGAUGGUUAUGAGGGUGGGGAGGGAGAGAGGUAUUCACCAACUAGAUAGUAGACAAGAAUUAUCUUAGGUGAACGGAAAGACAACACACAAUACAGGGAAGUCAGCACAACUGGACUAAACCAAAAGCUAAGAAGUUUCUUGAAUACAAUCAAAUGCUUUGACGGACAGAGUAGCAGGGGCAGGGGUCUAGGGACCAUGGUUUCAGGGAACUUCCAGGUCAAUUGGCAUAACAAAUUUUAUUAAGAAAACGCUCUGUGUCCCACUUUGGUGAGUGGCAUCUGGGGUCUUAAAAGCUAGAGAGCGGCCAUCUAACAUGCAUCAAUAGGUCCCAACCCACCUGGAGCAAAGGAGAAUGAAGAACACUGAAGACACAAGGAAAAUAUUAGCCCAAGAGACAGAAAAGUCCACAUAAACCAGAGACUCCAUCAGCCUGAGACCAGAAGAACUAGAUGGUGCCUGGCUACCACCAAUCACUGCCCUAACAGGAAACACAACAGAGAGUCCCUGAUGGAAUGGGAGAAAAGUGGGGUGCAGAACUCAAAUUCUAGUAAAAAAACCAGACUUAAUGGUCUGACUGAGACUGGAGGGACCCCGGAAGACAUGGCCCCCGGACUCUCUGUUAGCCCAGAAGUGAAACCAUUCCCAAAGCCAACUCCAGACAAAGACUAGACUGGACUUUAAGACAUAAAAUGAUACUAGUGAAGAAAGUAUUUCUUAGCUCAAGUAGAUACAUGAGACUAACUGGGCAACUCCUGUCUGGAGGUGAGAUGAGAAGGUAAAAAGGGACAGGAUCUGGCUGAAUGAACAAUGGAAAUCUGGGGUGGGAAGGAAGAGUGUGCUGUCACAUUAUAGGAAGAGCAACUAGGGUUACAUAGCAAUGUAUUUAUGAAUUUUUGUAUGAGGAACUAACUUGAACUGUAAACUUUCAUUUAAAGCACACACACAAAAAAAUGUCUCUAGACAUUGCAAGAUGUCUUUUGAAGGAAAAAUCACCCCGGUUGAGAACCACUGUGCAAUGGUUAUAAGAAUGAUGGCAGACUAUGGAGGCUGGAGAACAGAGUUUCCCAAGCAUGAAUUGAACUAAGAUGUCCACCAUAUCAUGACCAGAUCUAUGAUAUCCUCAAUAAUGCAUGGGACCAAAAAAAAAAAAAAAAAAACCCAUUGCCAUUGAGUCGAUUCCAACUCAUAGCAACCCUGUAGGUUGGAGUAGAACUGCCCCAUAGGGUGUACAAGGGGCGGCUGGUGGAUUCAAACUGCUGACCCUUUGGUUAGCAGCCAUAGCUCUUAACCACUAUGCCACCAGGGUUUCCAACAUAUGGAACAAGAUCCCUGAAAAGCCAUUAAAAGAUCUGAUUAGGGGUAUCCUAGGUGGAGGUAAUUUCAAAGCUGCCAGACAAGGAGAGUUAAGCAAGCAGCAAAGGCAAACAAGCUAAAAAGUGAAAUGAGAACAGGUGAAUAUGAAUAUGAAUAAGAGCCAAUUGCAAAUCUAGGAAAUAAAAAAAUAGUCGUUGAAACAAAAAAAAAGUAAUAGAAUAAACUGUUCAGCAUAGUUGAAGAGUUAGUGAAUUGGAAGAUAGCACUGGGGAAUUAACUCAGAAUAUGGCAUAUUCUAACAAAACAAAACAAUAAACAAAAUAACAAGAGACAUGGAGGAUAGAUCAAGGACACCAACAUAAGAAAUGGCAGAAAAACAGUAUCUGACAAAGAACUGAAGAAAGACAGGAUAUCUUUAGGUCCAAAGAAUAUGCCAUAUUCUAAACCAUCAAUAUAAAGAAAAAUUUAUAGCUAGAUCCAUCAUCAUGAAACUGCCAUGCAUAUAGGAGGAUGUCUUAUUAGCAGUAGUAAAGUCCAGAAGACAACAAAGUGCUAUGUCAGAGUGUUGAGGGAAAAUAAAGGGUCAAGCUAAAAUUUUCUACCCUGUUAAACUAUAAUUCCAGAAAAGGUCUGCAAAACUGUUCCUUAAAGGGGCAGUAGUAAAUAGUUUAGGCUUGCAGGUCAUAUCGUCAUUGUCAUAUGCUAAGACCUGUGUCACAUUUGGGAGGAAGUGUAGAGAUUUUAGACUUUGUUUACACAUAUAUAAUUAAGUAGUUAGGUUAAAAUAUUAAGGGUAAUCGUUGGAAGAAGAGAAAAACAAUCAAUAGCUUCCAAAUCAACAAAAUAAAAAAGAGAAAUACAGAAUCUUUAUCAAACUAAAAGAAAUCAGAAAAAGAGGGGAAAUACAUAAGCCAAGAAAAUGGAUACCCAACAGAAAACACAAAGUAAGAAGGCAGAAAUAAUUCAAUAAUCACAAGAAAUAUAAACUAACCUAUUAAAUGACAGGUCUAUCAGAUUGGGUCAAAACAAAAUAAAAAAUAAAACACCCCAGAGUCAAGCUAGAUUUUGGCCCAGAGCUCUUCUAACAGGCUCUCUACCAUAAACUGCAUUAGAAAAUGAGGACCUUCAGAUUAUUCCUCCACGCUGGCUAAUGUCUAGAUGCUACAAAAAAAUAGAUAAAUUCAUCCAGUCUCUUCCAUGAACUGGUAACUCAAAAGUGAGCGAGUUGUAUUAGAAGAUAUCUAAGGUAUUUUCAAAUCUAAAAUUCCAAGAUUUUAUGCUUUCCCCCAGAUGUGACAUCUUUGUGGGCAGAGCUUUGUACCUACAUUCUGAGCAUCAAGGACACAGCGAUUGGUACUGACCACUUGAUGGAGGCUGGCCUUAUCACUUGAGCAUUUGGCAUUGGCAAUGCAGUCUUGAUUUUCAUGUUGUUACUGGCCUAUGUUAAGCAGCCUUUUGCAGAUGGACAGAUACUUAUUAUUACCAUACGCUUAUAGGCAACAUGGAAAUUGACCUGUAAGAGGCAAGAGAGGGCUUUUUUCCUUCUAAUAUGUUAUGAAAGUUUGAUCAAAGUGGGAAUAUUCUGUCAUGGGUGAUUAGUAUCAGCUCAUAUUAAAAUUCACUUUUCCUAAUUCAGUAUGAAAAGUACCAACAUAAGAAAACUUUGCUAUGAGAUGGAGAGGAUACAGAGUGAUGUCAUAUACAAGUUCUAGUGUCUCCUCCUUUCUGAAAGAAAUUUUUUCUCAGAAGAGGUUAGCCCUCUUUUUUUCCACUCUUAUAAAAAUUCUUGAGUUAGUUGGGCCAUGUACCCCACAUCCCAGAGACAUGGCAGAUUUCUUCUACAUUUUCAUUCACAAAUGAUAAUAAUAAUAAUAAUGUUGAUCUAUAACAACCACGUAUUGAUUGUUAACUGUGUGCCAGGCACUAGGCUAAGGUCCCUCUAAUACCCUAUUAUACCAUUUUACAUACUUGGAAACUGAGGCUCCGAGGAUUGUGGCCUUGCCCAACCAAGCUCACACAGCCGGCAAGCAGCAGUGUAGGACCCUAAACCAGCACGCAGGACUGAAAAUCAGUUAUGUAGGGUAGUCUCUCUCAGGUGUGCAGAAUGUAAUUUUUCCAAGGGAUCUUGUAGACUCUAGAACAGAGUUUCUCAACCUUGGCUUUAUUGACAUUUUGGGCCAGGUAAUUCUUUGUUGAGAGUGCUGUCCUGUAUAUUGUAAGAUGUCUGACAACUUCUCUGGCCUUUACCCACUAGAUACUAGUAGCAGCCUCCCUCCCCUGCAUCCAGUUGUAGCAACCAAAACUGUCUCCAGACAUUGCCAAGUGUCUCCUGGGGAAUAUAGUCGCCUCCGGGACAAUGCUCUUCAGUCUUCUUCCAGAGUGCCUCGCACAGCCUGAUGUAAGUCCUGCUUCCUUCCUGCCUUGAGGACAUUUGGGAGGCACUAUCGACUCGAUGGCACUGGGUUUGGUUUUUUUGUGUGUGUGUAUUAUUUGCAGAGAUGGGAGUACAGGCAAUCCUCGAAUUAUCUUUUCCUAAAUCUGUCUGUAAGUCGAAUUGGUACUUAAGCCAGAACAGUUAGGUACAGUUCGUAUCUAGUAUCAGUUAGUCAAAUGUUUGUCUUAGUAUAUAGUAUAUAAUGUGCUUUUCUAUGCAUAAAAAACAUUAAAGAAACACAGAUACACUAAAACAUCUUUAACAUACUAAUAAAAAAGAAAAAAAUUUUUUUAACAUACUAAUACAGUAAUAAUAAUAAUAUUUUAAUAGGUGUCCACAAAGUAGCACCCAUUUGUUAUUUAUGAAUCGUCGUGUGUUCCUUGAAUUUUUAGUAUGAUAGGCUUUUUGGGAGUUGGUUUGUAACCAUGGGUUGUAUAUAAGUUGAACGUUCGUAACCAGGGGACUGCCUGUAACUCUUGAGUUUCAUUUCGGCAGAGAUGGGAGUAAACUAGUUGCUAUCCAAUGGAUUCUGGCUUAUGGAAACCCAGUGUGUGACAGAGCAGAAUUGUGCUUCACAGGGUUUUCAGUGGCUGACUUUUUGGAAGUAGUUUGCCAGGACUUUUUUCUAAGGUGCUUCUGGGUGGACUUGAACUUCCAACAUUUUAGUUAGCAGCCGAACAUGUUAAGUGUUUGUACCACUCAGGGACUCCUAGAUGGAAGUAACUCUUGAGUUUUGUUUCUGCUGAGGGUGGGUUUCCUGAGUCAUGAACUUUUGCUGUGAUAAAGGUAUCCCAGCUUCUAUUAGUCCAAUAAAAAUGAAAGACUCCUUUGUCUCUAGUAGAAGACAUGGUGGUUUAUCUGCCCAACUCCUCUUCCUGGGAACUGCUCAGUAUGUCCACAGGGCAGCCAUGUUUCUGGCCAUAGCUUACGGGCUCAGGGUAGAUAUUUUACUCACACUGGGUCAGUCACUUCUGUCUCCCAGGAAUUUGGAAGUAGGACUGUGGGUUGGAAGUAGGACUGUGGGCAAGUCUUCCCUUACACUAGAACUGUGACCGGUAAACUUGGCAGCUCUGGCGGUCAUCUUACUGUCCGGUGGACUAACUGUUAUAGAGUUGUUGUUGUUAGGUGCCUUAGAGUCAAUUUUGAUUUGUAGACACCCUAUGUGACAGAGUAGAACUGCCCCACAGGAUUUUGUAUGCUGCAAUUUUUGCGGAAGCAGAUCGCCAGGUUUUUCUCCCUCAGAGCAAUGGAAGGGCUUGAAACACCAACCUUUAAGUUACCAGUCAAGCCCUUAACUGUUGUGCCACCAGGGCUCCUUGAUAUAUAGUAAAACCUGUUGCCAUUGAGUCAAUUCCAAGUCAUAGUGACCCCGUAGGAUGGAGUAGAACUGCCCCAUGGGGGUUCCAAGAAGCAGCUAGUGGAUUCCAACAGCUGACCUUUUGGUUAGCAGACAAGCUCUGAACCACUACCUGUAGUGCCCAGACCAGCAGCAUCAAUAUUACCUGGGAAAUGGGUAGAAAUGCAAAUUCGCAGGCCCCACCCCAGACCUCCAGCUUUAGAAACUCUGGGGUGUGGCCUAGCAAGCUGCGUUUUAACAAGUCCUCCAGGUGAUUCAGGUGCUCACUAAAGUUGGUAUACAGGGAGAGAGAGAUGGGAGGGAAUGUGAUUCAUGGGAUGGAGACAGAGAACUUCCUGUGAAUGAGAUGUCUCAGUUCCAACUUCUAGUUCUUCCUCAUACUCAGCCAUGCUCCUGCCCUCAGGCUUGGUGAGGUACUUCUAUGUCCUAGUAACAAAAUCCACUUUCUUUUUUCUUAAGUUGAUUGAAGUCAGUUUCUGUUGCUUGCAACUAAAAAGUCCUUACUCACCUCACAACAUGACUGUGUACAAUUCAUGUAGGGAGAAAAAUCACAUGGAGCAGUGUCCCCACAGCUGCUCAGGAAGAGAUUGUAAUUUUAUCAAGGACUCCUGAAAAUAUUUAAAAGCUUCAGAGAAAAUAUUCCAUGUUUUUUUCUUAUCAUCAGGAGCAAGAAUUGUGUGUGUGUGUAUCUAUUUAAAGAAGCCCAUUUAUAAAGUAAAUACCUUUUUUCCUUAUCUAUCUUUGUAUAUUUUAUUCUUCAGUGUUCAAGCCUUGGUGUUUUCCUGACUUUUCCCUCACUCGUUUCUCACAGUUAAGUUAAGCUAGAGUUAAAAAUAGAUCUCUACUGGCCAGCAGAUAUUUAUUGAACGUCUAUCGUGUGCCAGGUAUUUGAAGAUUUAGUAAAUAAUGGUUUCCACAUAGUUUCCUCUCAAAGAGCUUAGAGUUUUGUAAGGAAGAAUGCAAUUAUCUUACUGUUUUAAGUUAUAAUACGUUUCAUGUACGAGGUUUCAAGGAAAGUUAGAAAAGAGAGUGAUGAACUUCCAGGGUGGGGAAGUGCUGGGAAAGAAGAGUGGUGCUCGGAGAAGACUUUCAGGAAGAUGCUUUCCCUGAAUUAGGCUUGGAAAUACGAUCAGGUGUCCACAAGGCAGAAAAGGCAGGGGAAGGAGAGUGUUCAAUUUGUGGUUUGCAGGCACCACCAGGGAAGAAUUUGAUGUUUCAGUGCUUACUCCCUUCUUGAUUCUGGCUGAUUUGAAGUGUUACGACGAUAUGGUAUAAUAUAUAAGAUAUGAUAUGAUAGCUGCUAUCAAGUUGACUCUGACUCAUAGCUACUUUAUGUACAAUAGAAUGUAAUACCCAGUUCUGUGUCAUCUUCAAAAUCACCAACAUGUUGUAGUCUGUCAUUGUGGCUAUUGUGGCAAUCCGUUUCAUCAAGCGUCUCCCCUGCCCUCACUGACCCUCUAUUUCAGCAAACAUGUCUUCUUCCAGCAACUGAUCCCUCCUGAUGGCAUGUCCAGAGCAAGGAAUUUGACAAUGUUUUGCUGUGAUCCAUAAGGUUCUCACUGGCUAAAUUUUGGCAGUAGAUCACCAGUCCUUUCUUCCUAGUCCGUCUUAGUCUGAAAGCCCCACUGAAAUCUGUCCACUGUGAAUGGCCCUGCUGGUCUUUGAAAUAUCAGUGGCAUACCUUCCAGCAUCAUAGCAACACACAGCCACCACAACAUAACAAACUGACAAACGGGUGGUGAUGAAGUGCUGUAGUAUCAUAUAAACAUUGAAAAUAAGCUGAAGACAUUUCUAAAUUUCAUGAAGUAGUAGCUUCUAGAAACUGUCCCCAUUAUAUCACCAGCACUUCCUUUUUCUGGACACAAUUUAUUAACCGUACUUUCAAGAUGACACGGCAAAACAUACUGGCCUUUUAAAGUCGUGCUUCUAAGGAGAGUAGACUGUAUGUUGGUUUAUCUCAACUAGGAGAAAAAUAAAGAGUAUGAAGGGGGAAAAUCUCUAUUAAGUUUUGUAAUUAUAAUAUGAAAAUUCAGUUAAUUUCUUUUAUCAUAGUGAGUCAUUAAAGACUGAAGUGGGUUCCCAGCCUUUUGUUUCCAGAACAAUCCCCUAGAGGCUUAGCGCUCUGUCAUCCGGAUGGGCCUGAUUAAAGAAGGGAACCUCUAUCUUCAGAUUACUGCUCUCUGUCAUUAGCAUUACGUUAUCUUGCUCUUCAGACUGAUUUUUAAUUUUUAUGCUCGCAAUUAUAAAUGAUUUACAGGGACAUUCAUCGCCCGACCUGUCCUGAGUCAUUAAAUUCACCUAGGUUGAAUAGCCCGAUGUGCACCUGAAAUUAACCAAAUCAGUGACAUUAUCUGGCUGGAUUUUUCAGAGGCUUUAGAAACAGAGAAGAGACUCCUUUCUCUCUCUCAACUCCCAGGCUUAAUGGGAAAAUAUUUUUAAUUGAUAAAAGAGGUAAUUAGCCAAGGCUAAGAGGUGCACACUAAUUGUGCUGUAUGUCUUGCAGAGUUAGUUUGGCCAGGAUUUCUGGAAAAGAAGGGAACAUGACCCAAAUACAGUAUUGGUUGCAGUCACAUGAGACUAGUUUGAAUGAGUUUUACAUGCCUGAACCAAGUCUAGGAGAAGAACUGCGAUAGCAUUUAUUGCGUACCUAUUAUAUGCUGGAGCCCUGGUGGUGCAGUAGUUAAGAGCUCGGCUGCUCACCAAAAGGUUGGCCAUUCGAAUCCACCAGCCACUCCUUGGAAACCCUGUCGGGCAGUUCUGCUCUGUCCUAUAGGGUCACUAUGAGUUGGAAUGGACUCUACAGCAAUGGGUUUGGUUUCACUAUGUGCCUGUGUUCCCCUCAUUGUUUCUUUUGUGUUGUUUUGCUGUAAGGAAUGGAAGGCUCUUCACGCUGGCUCAGAUGAAAUGGGGACUGUGAUCUUACUCAGUCUAAGACAGAAAGUGGAGAGCUGCUGGGCCGGAAGUAGGAAUCAAGGGCAAGCUCUCUCAUGUUCUUUCUCUAUCACCCAGGAGUCACAUUAUCCAGUUCUUACUCUCUUUCUCUCUUUCUCAGGGCGUCUAUUAGCCUCCCAGCUCUCUUUUUAUCUUGGCUGGCUUCCUCUGCUCUUCUUUUUUGUGUUUGGGUCCAAAUAGGCAUUCCACCUGCAUUUACCCAGGGCCUUUUACCUCACCUUUUCACCACUGCCUGGCAAUAGACUCUGCCUUUCUUCUUCUUCUUUUUUUUAAUUUCAUUGUAAUGAAAAAUAUAUAACAAAACAUUCACCGUUUCAACCAUUUUUACAUAUACAAUUCAGUAACAUUUUUUCUGUUCAUCAUAUUGUAAAACCAUCACCACUACUGGCUUCCAAAUUAUUUUCAUCACCCUUAACAGAAACUCAGUGCCCCUUGAGCAAUACCUCCCCCGCUGCCCCUCCCACCUGCCCUUGGUAACCACGAAUAAACUUUAUCUCCACUCUUCUUGGUUGAAAUUCUCUAUAGAAUGUCAGUGGUUUCUUACCAGCUAGGGGAUUGUCUGCCCUUGGGAAUACAUCCCCUGUCUGCUGUGGUCAGAAGGGACAGGAGUUGUGUGUAGAGAAAGUAGAAUGGAAAUAACAGUAUUUUUUUUUAUUUGGUGUAUCUUUAAAACAAGUGAGAUCCUCCUCAUUUGACAGAUGAGGAAACUGAGGCUAAUGGAGGUUAUGUCAUUUGUUGGAGGUCAUACAGCUUGUGUUAGAGGCAGGAAUUAGGGCCAAGGCCCGUCUGACCUUGCUUUCCAUUUGAUGUGCUGACUCUCCGACAGCCCUGCUAUUUGUCACACAGGUGUAUGGGCAGGGGUGGCUCAACACACAGGCCGAUGGCUGGUUAAUUAGGUUGGUUUCCUAAGACUGCCAUAACAAAGUACCACAAGCUAGGUGGCUUAAAACAACAGAAAUUUAUUUGCUCACAGUUUUGGAGGCUAGAAGUCCAAAAUUAAGGUUGGCAGGACCAUGCUCCCCGUGAAGCCUCUAGGGAAAGAUCCUCCCUGGCCUCUUCCAGCUUCUGGUAGCUCUAAGCCUUCCCUGGUUUGUGGUAGUAUAACUCCAGUCUCUACCUCUGUCUUCACAUGGCCGUCUUCUCUCUGUGUCUGUCUCUUUUCUUCUUUCUAGAAGGACACCAAUUAUACUGGAUUAGGGUCCACCCUACUCCAGUAUGACCUCAGAUUAACUGAUUACACCUGCAAAGACACUAUUUCCAAAUAUGGUCACAUUCUCAGGUACUGGGGAUUAGGACUUGAGCGUAUCUUUUUGGGAGACACAUUUCAACUUGUAACAGGGUCCCAGUUACAGCUUGAGCAAUGUAGACAACACCAGCUUCUUCCCCAUUUUCUUCUUCCUGUGUCUCUUAAGGGACGUUGAAAGAGCAAAAAUCAGAGAUAAAAAAGAAGAUAUCUUAAUUCAUAUUGGGCUUUGAAAAUAGUCCAGAGAAAAUCUGGUUGAAGAGUCAUAAUAGAUGUAUGUAGGGCUCUGACCAUGAAACCUGAUAAUAGAGGGGAGCAGAAAUAAGAGCUUAGCUGCUAACCAAAAGGUUGGCAGUUCCAAAUCUACCAGCCACUCCUUGGAAACUGUAUGGGCCAGUUUUACUCUGUCCUAUAGGGUCGAUAUGAGUCAGAAUUGACUGGAUGGCAAUGGGGUUGGUUUUUAUUUGUUUUCAGUCCCAGAGGAUGGCGACCUAUGCCUCGAUUUACCAACUUUGGAACUUACUAGCUAGCUGUAUGACUUUGGGAAAAUCACUUAGCCUUCCUGAUCCUCUGUUUCCUCAUCUGUAAGAUGGGGGUGAUAUAAUUACAAAAAUUGUUUGAACAGUGUGUUUACCACCAAGUACAGUCCCUUAUACACAGAAGUCAUCCAGUAACUGCUAAUUCCUCCCUCCUUCCCAUUCUUGCCAAGAUGAGACUCAAGGCCUGAUCCUUUAAUAAUUGUAGCCUCGGCAUUAACGGUUAGUCCAGUUCUGAGAAUCUCUGGAAAGUUCAACUCAUCACGGAACUCUAGCUUUUAUUUAUCCAGCAUCCCUUCCCUCCUUUAGGUAACAGCACCCCAUUCCUUGGUGGACUGUGUCCCUUUUCACCCGUAUGGUUCUGGAGAGGCUGCUACACUCAGGCCUAGGCAGUCAUAAUCCCCCCUGUAUGGCCUUGUUGAUUGAGCC